AGAGUUUGAUCCUGGCUCAGAUUGAACGCUGGCGGCAGGCCUAACACAUGCAAGUCGAGCGGAUGAGGGUAGCUUGCUACCUGAUUCAGCGGCGGACGGGUGAGUAAUGCCUAGGAAUCUGCCCGAUAGUGGGGGACAACGUUUCGAAAGGAACGCUAAUACCGCAUACGUCCUACGGGAGAAAGCAGGGGACCUUCGGGCCUUGCGCUAUCGGAUGAGCCUAGGUCGGAUUAGCUAGUUGGUGGGGUAAAGGCUCACCAAGGCGACGAUCCGUAACUGGUCUGAGAGGAUGAUCAGUCACACUGGAACUGAGACACGGUCCAGACUCCUACGGGAGGCAGCAGUGGGGAAUAUUGGACAAUGGGCGAAAGCCUGAUCCAGCCAUGCCGCGUGUGUGAAGAAGGUCUUCGGAUUGUAAAGCGCUUUAAGCUGGGAGGAAGGGCAGUAAGUUAAUACCUUGCUGUUCUGACGUUACCAGCAGAAUAAGCACCGGCUAACUUCGUGCCAGCAGCCGCGGUAAUACGAAGGGUGCAAGCGUUAAUCGGAAUUACUGGGCGUAAAGCGCGCGUAGGUGGUUCAGCAAGUUGGAUGUGAAAGCCCCGGGCUCAACCUGGGAACUGCAUCCAAAACUACUGGGCUAGAGUAUGGUAGAGGGUGGUGGAAUUUCCUGUGUAGCGGUGAAAUGCGUAGAUAUAGGAAG
rnacentral:rRNA from 1 species